AUGUAUGCCAAGCAAGUCUGGUCUGAGCCGCCGCAAGCUUGUUUGGAAGCACAUUCAUACACGAUGGGCCAUCGUGCCAUCACUUGGGGUGUCUUUGGCUCGCUUGUAAAUGAGAGUAAGGGAAAGAGGCAAGGUUGUGCUGCUACACCUCAUUGUUUGUCCGCCCAGUCUGCAAUGCUCUCUUCCGACAGGUUGGGGAUGAAGUGGUUGCACGCGAGGCAAGCAGCGAGGUCGCCCGUAUUGCCGCCGAGGACAAUGCAGAGGGGCGGGGUAGAGUGGAGGCGGCACCGAUUCUACACCAAACAUCCUCACUUCCAAUGCUGCAUGAACCUCCCUGCCUGGUCAUCAUGUUCUACUGACUGA
rnacentral:rRNA from 1 species